rnacentral:rRNA from 1 species
GACGAACGCUGGCGGCGUGCUUAACACAUGCAAGUCGAACGAUGAAGCCUUCGGGUGGAUUAGUGGCGAACGGGUGAGUAACACGUGGGUGAUCUGCCCUGCACUUUGGGAUAAGCCUGGGAAACUGGGUCUAAUACCGAAUAUGAUCAUGCUCUUCAUGGGGUGUGGUGGAAAGCUUUUGCGGUGUGGGAUGGGCCCGCGGCCUAUCAGCUUGUUGGUGGGGUAAUGGCCUACCAAGGCGACGACGGGUAGCCGGCCUGAGAGGGUGACCGGCCAGACUGGGACUGAGAUACGGCCCAGACUCCUACGGGAGGCAGCAGUGGGGAAUAUUGCACGAUGGGCGCAAGCCUGAUGCAGCGACGCCGCGUGAGGGAUGACGGCCUUCGGGUUGUAAACCUCUUUCAGCAGGAACGAAGCGAAAGUGACGGUACCUGCAGAAGAAGGACCGGCCAACUACGUGCCAGCCGCCGCGGUAA